rnacentral:misc_RNA from 1 species
AGAAGAUUCAUGAAAAUAAGAAGGUGCAGCUAAAAUCGACCGCGUUGCCUAAAGGAGUUAGGAUGAGGAAAUGGGGGAAAUAUGCAGCUGAGAUCAGAGAUCCCUCGCAGGGGAAAAGAAUAUGGUUAGGGACUUUUGAGACUGUGGAGGCGGCUUCACAAGCAUACGAGGCAAAGAGGGCUGAAUUUGAUAGGAUUAUUUCAUUGGGGAAGGGUAAGAAUUUGAGCCCUGGUCCUGCUGAGUGUUCUAUGGCGUGUACGUCUCAUCCUACAAAUGGGAAAAAUCGUGUGUACUCACACCCUUCCCCGUCUUCGGUGCUAGAUGUCCCCACAUCAUCAGCUGCUGCCCCGGUUGAGUCCAA